GUAAAUAUUUUAAAUUGAAGAUCGAAUUCAAUCAUUGUAUUCAUAUAAGGCCAAGGAGUGUAGUUGUAAAAAAUCAUCAAAAUCGGAGUUAAAUUAACCGUUAAAUCGUGAUUUUUCGUUUAUAACCAACCGUCGAAAAGUUUUGUCCCGUUACAUGCUCUCUGAAUGUUUGUUUUUUGCAAUUUUUGGCGUAUGCGAUCUUGAAAUAUAUACAAACAUGUUUGACGGUUGGAUCAUUGAAACUAGUUUCGUAGAAUGAGUAUCCCAUCAAAA
rnacentral:lncRNA from 1 species